AGAGUUCGUAGGUGGUUGAAAAAGUUAGUGGUGAAAUCCCAGAGCCUAACUCUGGAACUGCCAUUAAAACUUUUCAGCUAGAGUAUGAUAGAGGAAAGCAGAAUUUCUAGUGUAGAGGUGAAAUUCGUAGAUAUUAGAAAGAAUACCAAUUGCGAAGGCAGCUUUCUGGAUCAUUACUGACACUGAGGAACGAAAGCAUGGGUAGCGAAGAGGAUUAGAUACCCUCGUAGUCCAUGCCGUAAACGAUGUGUGUUAGACGUUGGAAAUUUAUUUUCAGUGUCGCAGCGAAAGCGAUAAACACACCGCCUGGGGAGUACGACCGCAAGGUUAAAACUCAAAUGAAUUGACGGGGACCCGCACAAGUAGUGGAGCAUGUGGUUUAAUUCGAAGAUACGCGCAGAACCUUACCAACACUUGACAUGUUCGUCGCGACUCUAAGAGAUUAGAGUUUUCGGUUCGGCCGGACGAAACACAGGUGCUGCAUGGCUGUCGUCAGCUCGUGUCGUGAGAUGUUGGGUUAAGUCCCGCAACGAGCGCAACCCUCACUUUUAGUUGCCAUCAUUAAGUUGGGCACUCUGAAAGAACUGCCAGUGAUAAGCUGGAGGAAGGUGGGGAUGACGUCAAGUCCUCAUGGCCCUUACGUGUUGGGCUACACACGUGCUACA
rnacentral:rRNA from 1 species